rnacentral:rRNA from 1 species
CCCUUAGAUGUUCUGGGCCGCACGCGCGCUACACUGAUACAUGCAACGAGUUUAUAACCUUGAUCUGACGGUCUGGGUAAUCUUCAAACUGUAUCGUGUUAGGGAUCGAUUCUUGCAAUUUUUAAUCUCCAACGAGGAAUUCCUAGUAAACGCAAGUCAUCAGCUUGCAUUGAUUACGUCCCUGCCCUUUGUACACACCGCCCGUCGCACCUACCGAUUGAAUGGUCCGGUGAAAUCUUGGGAUUUUGUUUUGUUUGCAUUUAUUUGUAUCGAGACGAGAGAACUUGAGUAAACCUUACCAUUUAGAGGAAGGUGAAGUCGUAACA